AUUAAAGUAUUUUAUGUAAAAUAAAGAUUUGUGGGAUCUUAGAACCUAUUUGGCUUUGAUU
rnacentral:tRNA from 1 species